rnacentral:lncRNA from 1 species
ACGAAAUGGAAAGGGUUAAGAGGAGAUUUUGAAGAAAUCAAGAAGCUAAACCAUGGAUAUAAGUAAAAACUUACCUAGGAUGAUGAUUUUUGGUGAAGAGUCCUCUUGAAAGCACACACCAACUCGAGAUUUUUGAUGGAAGAGGGAAGAUGUUUUUGAGAGUGUUUAAGAGAGUUUUUGAAAGAAAAAUGAAGGUGGUGAGAGGGUUAGCCGAGAAUAUGGAGAGAAGGGAGAGAGAGAUCAUAACCUUGUUAUUUGUGAGGUAAUAGUUAGUCUUGAAACAUGAGAUGCUACCAUAGAUAUAUGGUGGUUAAACAUGAGUUGUCACAUGCAUGUUUGGUCUUCAUUUAUCCAUUCUUUUUUUUUGUAUUUAAUAAACAUGGGCCGAUUUGGGCUAAAGAGAAAGGAAAGAAAUCAUCUUGGGCCCAUACUCGAAUUUAUGAAGCCCAAAAAUAAAUUUUCGGCCCAUAUGGGGCAAAUGAAAUCUUUUAUGGCCCAACAAGGCUCAUUAGAGGUAAGAUGGAUGGUUUUAGGCCCACAUGGCCCAAAAUGCUAAAGUUUUAUGAGUGUGGUCUAUUUAGAGCCCAAUUAGGGCUUCUAGACCUAAUAGGAGAAUUUUUAGUUCAUAAGGAACUUGGACCGGGAUUACUAAGGUUUCCAACCCUUAGUUAAACAUAUGAGGCGUAUUUUGAACGAGGAUAGAGUAUUGUAUUCACUUAGAGUACAUGCUUUUACAAUGGAUGAUGUUUAUAUGAGAAUAUAAUUUCCUAGCUAAAAAUGCUAGUUGUGACAUCAUCCCCCCGUUAGAGGGAAUUUCGUCCCGAAAUUCUUUCUAAGGAUAGGUUCGUGUAUGAGAGAAUAGGCACUUCAUCUGUUCUUCACGUUUCCCAUGUGAAUUUCGGUCCACGCUUAGCGUUCAAUGGAACCUUCACAAUCAUAAUGGGGCUUUGUUUUGUAUGUUCUACUUCCCUAUCCAAUACCUCGUCUGGUUCUUUGACGAACAUGAGAUUCUUGCUUGCUCCGAUUUCUCGUAAAGGAAUGAUAAGAGUCUCAUCUGAUAUGUAUCUUUUCAGAUUUAAGACACAGAACACAGGGUUUACGUUGCUGAGCUCUACAGGCAGCUACAACCUAUAUGUCUUUGGACCAAUUCGAGCAAGCAUCUCGAACAGUCCGAUGUAUCGUGGGUUUAGUUUUCUCGGUUCCUAAAGCGAAUCAUUCAAUUCCCAGGAGAUUCCUUUAAUAACACGCGAUCCCCGACUUGCCAUCCUAAUGGCUUACGCCGCUUGUCAGCAUAGCUCUUUUAUCGGUCUCGCGAUGCUUGAGGUCCAGCUUUGAUUUGGAUUAUCCUCUCUGUUGUUUCGUUAGUGGUUUCUGGUCUCAUGAGAGUACUACCGAGUGAUAUGCAUUUAUGACUAUAAAGAGUUUUCGAAAGGAGCAUUCUUGAUGCUCGUGCGAUAGUUGUUAUUGUAUGAGAAUUUAGUCAAGGGAAACCGGGUAUCCCCUGACUUGUUGAACUCAAACACCUAGACUUGUAGCAUGAAUUUGAGUGGUCGAAUGGUUCGUUCACUUUGGCUAUUGGUUUGAAGGUGGUAAGCAACGCUUAUGUCUAGUUAUGUGCCCAUAGCCCUCUGAAGUGACUGCCAUAGUCUUGAAGAAGAUCUGUUAUCUCGAUCCGAGAUAGUAGAUACCGAUAUUUCAUGGAGUCUCACAAUCUCCUUGAUAUAAAUCCCAACUAAUCUUUCCGUCUUGUUUGAUUUCUGUAUUGUCAGGAAACGGGCGGAUUGGGUUAACCUAUCAACGAUCACCCGGAUAAUGCCCAUCUCAACUUGCGUAACUAUAAGUUCGUCCCUCGACUUCAAGAGUUUUAUCCGUCCAUGUAGUGUUUUCUUCACGAUAUUCUCCGGCUUUGAUGCCUUCAAGGCUGGUCGUAGGUGUUGACAGUGUUUGUUCUUGUUUUGUGAGCAGACGAGUAUGCUAUUGAUAAUAAAAGGCUAACUAAGAGUGGUUGAGAGAACUUGGUUCGUAGGGUCCAUGAAUAGCAUGGGAGCAUUCGUUAGACCGAAGGGUAUCGCAAUGAAUUUGAAAUGGUCGUGACGAGUUCGGAAAGCAGUUUUUGAAAUGUCGUCUUCUCAGACUCGAGUCGUUGAUAACCGAUUCUUAGAUCUAUUUUAGAGAAGUAGUUAGCUCCUUGGAGCUGGCCAAAUAGAUCGUCAGUCCGAGGAAGUGGGUAUCGAUUUUUGAUGGGAAGCUUACUCAAUUUCCUAAAAUCGAUGUACCUUCUGAAGGAUCCAUCUUCUUGAAGAACAAGAUCGGAGCUGUUUCAAGAAGAGAAGCUUGGUCUAAUGAAUCCUUUGCUCAGAAAGUUUCUUGUUUGUCUGGAUAACUUCUGAAUUUCACCGGAAGCUAACCUAUAGGGUGAAUUGGCAAUUGAUGUGGCUCCCGUUAUUAGGUCGAUUUGAAAUUCGACCUGUCUCUCUGGGAUAUUCUCGAAAGUUCUUCGGGAAACACAUCAGGAAAAUCACAUGCUACUGGAAUACCUUGUUUGCCUACCUCUUCUUUGGUCUUGUCCACAACAUGAGUGAGGAAAACGUAGUUCUUCUGGUGCAGGCACUUCUGUGCCUUGAUGCACGAGAUAGGAAGAGGAUUGGUGCCAGGUUUAUCACCAUGGAUUAUUAGAGUUUUGUGAUUAGGAAGGUGAAGGCAAACGGCCCUCUCACAACACAUAUCAUUAUCAUGGUGGGGGCUUAACCCAUCCAUGUCGAUUAUCAUGUCAAAACUCCUAAUAUUUACUGGUAUCAAGUCUAUUGAAAUGAAUGAUUGUUUAGUGUUAAGAUGUUCCCUACAUAAUUAUCUUUGGUUGAUUCGGUUUUUCCAUUGAUCAUCUCCACCGUUAAGGAUUAGUUUAGCCUUUGGGAUUGUUGUUUUAGUAAGUGCUCGACUUUGUUACUAACGAAGCUUCGCUCAGCUUCACUAUUGAAUAAGAGGUAAGAGAAAUAGUUGUUAAGUGGGAACAUACCAGUAACAAUUGUCGGGUCUUGAUCUGCUUUGCCUUAUCCCAAGGUCAGGAUCAUUUCUGAUCCUUCUGCUCCUUGAUUGUUAUCCUUGGGGCAAUUGCGCCUGAAGUGACCAAUUCCUCCACACCCAUAGCAGGUGUGAAUGGUCUCACCAUUGGUGUUGUUGUUAGGGUUGUUGCGAUUGUUGUCGUUUUCAUUUGGCUGACGAUUCUGGCAUGGAUAAGUUCUACAGAAUUUGGCGGUAUGAUUGUUUCCGUUGCAUUUGUUACAAUGCAUCUCCUGGCAUGCUCCAUUAUGAUGGAAUUUGCACUGGUUGCAUUUUGGUAGGAUUCCAACAUAUGGUCUCCUGGUUGUUGGUGUAAUAGGGGUCAUGGUCGCAUGAACAGCAACAACAUGUUGCUUCCUUGAGAACCCUUGAGUGGGAUGUCCCUUUCUCUUAUUUCCAGACCUCAGCUUCCUGCUCUUAAGCUCGGGGUGUGGAGUUCCUUGAUAGGUUUUCACUUGUUGGUUUCCAUGUUUGCUCCGUUUGAUGGAGUUGUCAUGGGUAUUCCCGUCUCCAUUGGGGUUGUUUGUAUUGAUUUGCGCCAUCGCAGCGGUUACUGCCGCCGCUACAGCAGCUUGGAAUGUAGCAGAGUCCAUCUGCAGGAGCGGUGUCUCGCGGGUGCGCUUGUUAUUCUUGCGGGAUGGCAUUUUCCUGAUGCACGUUGAUAAUCCAGAUCGUAAGUGAUGAUCUUCAUUCCUGGUUGUACUCUAUAAUUUCGCAUCUUGUUGUAUAAUUCUUACUACUCCCAUCUACAUCCCUAUGAUGUAUUUAUGGUAGUAGGUAAUCACCGAUUUGGCACGAUCGUUACUUCUACCCCAGAGGAUAUGGAUUGUUUCGGUUUCGAGGUCCUUAAGUACCAUCUUAGUACACGAAGGAGAGUCAUAUCGGAUAGUGAGGGGGAAAAGAAAAGGUUGAUCCUAAUUGUGGCAGAAAGUGUCUGGUGGUGGNGAUGAAGUGGAUGCACCUCGGAGACGAGCUACUUGUUGCUCGGUAUCUCGUAGGCGUACCUCCCAAACUAACUGUCUCACUCGAGAGUCUCCAUUCACUUCCCGUGCUUGCCUCUCAUCCCUCUCAAUAGCAAACCGCAUUUGUUCCGUUCGAUUUGGGGUGUCUUGAGCUUGGUUAUCAAUACCUCGGGUGCGUCGGACCAAGACUGGGAGGACCCGGUCGGCUGGUCCUCUGUGACUAAGAUUAAAGAGACCUCAGCUCUUACUGCAGUGUGGUCGUAUUCCCUACUGGUGACUCUAUCUCCAAAUUUCAUAUGCCCAAGGGGGCAUGGGGCCACCGGGGCCCACACGAUAAGUCGGUACUCCGAAUUUUCAUGAAUGAUUGAUGACAUCAGAUUCUGCAUCAGAUUCAUCAUCAUCAUUGCCCUUGGGCUCUUCCUCUUCGAGGUCCACUAUUGACUCAGCGGGUUCACCUGCGAGUUCUACUUCGUGUUCCUCCUGUGGUUCUUCCUCUGGGUCGAGCCACCCUACUAUUCCUUGACUAGGGAGAUAGGGUUUCCCGGCUAAUGAUACUUGUCUACAGCGUAUUGCACGAAGGACUAUGAAUACUAGAAUCAAAUAGUAUACCAAUUACUCCUAUAAUUCUACAACUAUUGCAUAGAUUUAGUUGAGGUUCCCUUCUUGGAGAUUAAGGGGUAUGUUUUUAGAUUCCCUAGCUAUCACGAUUCCUUCAAGACAUGUGAUGGUUGUACCUUGGAGGGAAUGUAGUUGAUCAGGCUACAUCCGCUCCUUGAUACAACUAAGAACAGUCCUGGAUUAACCGAGAUACUAGCAUUAUCUUGUUUGGUUCGGUAUUAUGUUCUUUUUCCUAAUACAAGCAAGGGUGUUUUAUUGUUAUGUUUUACUUGUUUUGUUCAGAGUUGUGUUAGUCCCUCUUUUGGUUUAUAGUUGCAUAUCAAUGUGUGGCUAGAUAUGCUAGUUCACUAUAAACAAAGCUCUGAUACCAACCUGUCACACCCCCGAACCAGACGGCGGAAACGUCCGAGGGCUGUUGUGACUCAAUUGAAUACCAUCACAGUGAAUAUACAUGAAACAUAACAUCAUUCAUCACCAUGCAUUGAAAUAGUACAACUGGUAGUGUUUACAUUUAGUACAUUGUUUCAUAACAUUACAUUCCCAAAAAGUAGAUUGUUCGAUACUAGUUAAACAAACAACAAGACAUCACUGAGUACAUUUUUCCCUUCGAUUUACCUGUUACCUGAGAAUACAAGUAUUUUGAAAAACGUCAACAUAUGAAAUGUUGGUGAGUUCAUAAGUAAUGUUUGAAAUAUAAUGUUUUGUAUUGUUUUGAAAACCACCAGAAAAUCCGAUAUUUUCUGAAAAGAGUUUAUGAAAAAGUUUGUGAAGAUCCAUAAGUAUGCUUGUUUGUUUCUAUAGUUGUAAAAAUUGUUCAUUAAACUUGUGUACAUUUCGAAACCGUAUGUAUUGAAAAACCCUAGGAAAACCCGAUGUUUUCCUAACACUUUGAAUUCCAUGUAGUUGUAGUACCAUCGCGGCGUGUGAAGUCAUUGAUUCCAGGCGACGUCGGAUUAUUGUGCAUGGUGAAUUGCUAUAAACACGCGUUACACAAACGACCUGUUUACAACUAUACUAACGAUCCCGUAGGCGUCGUCCGUACUAUUCAUGUAAUCCAACCGCCCUGACUUCUUGUAGUCCCACAUCCGAAGAGAAAGAUGGCACGAAGACCUCGAUAACUCCGUUAGUCGGUUGGGGAUAAAAAGUGUGCGAAGGGCCCUUGACCCGACUUGCAUUUGCAUAACUGACUUUACUAGCAAUACCAAAGGACCCUUGGGGACCAAUAGUAUAAAAGCCAUUGAAAGUCCUUUUACGUUGUGUUGGAUCAUGUAAGACCCAACAACUCGUAUGGUUGAAGUCUUCGGGCCUAAAGAUCAAGUCAUUGGGCUAGCUAGGCCCAACAAACAGGAUUUUACACUUUUGGGCCCAAACGUGGUGCGUCGACGUCUGUGCACUCUCACGUGUGUAUUGAUUUCCCAAAUUUUAUGUGUAUGAGUCGAGUUAUCGUCGUGUUAGUAGUUUCGUGUUUGUUAUUGAUUCGAGACCGAAUCAAUUCGUUUGAUAACGAUUUUUGGUGUUGUUGUGUAAUAUAAUUCGUCGGUAGUUGCAGUGCCAGUGUUUGAUCACAACGGAUGUAUUGGAUUAACAUUGCAACUUUUCUGUUACAGUNUGUAAUAUAAUUCGUCGGUAGUUGCAGUGCCAGUGUUUGAUCACAACAAAUGUAUUGAAUUAACAUUGCAACUUUUCUGUUACAGCCCCUCUUUUUGUUGUAAAUUUACUUUUUCACCCCUUUGAAUAAAUAAAUUUCCGGUUUAGUCCUUAAACCAUUUUUCUUGACAUUUUAACACCAAAACUUAUUGAAAUUGAUAUUUUUCAGCAUAUUUUUAGUUGAAAACAAUUUUAGUCCCUGAAAGUACAGUUUUCUCGGUUAUAACCCCUCUUUUCGCAAUUUUUACACUUUUGGCCCAAAUUGGAAAAUUUUUGCAACUUUGGUCCUUUUUAAUUAUGGAAAGCAUUUUUAACCUUUGAAAAGGACUUAUAACACUAAUAGUCCACUGUUUUACCGAAAAACACAUUUUCAGCCCUCCAAAAUAGAAAAUUUCACAUAUUAGGCCCUAUUGGGCCGAAAAUGUCAUUUUUAGCCCAUUAAGCUUGAAAUUUAUAUUUUUAAUCCUCCAAAUGAGUAUAUUUCCAGAAAAUAUUUUAUUAAAACUGUUUUGACUCCUCUCAUCCAUCAGAAUUCGUAAUAUGUCAAUUUGGGCCCUUCAACUUUAUUUUUAUUAACAUUUUGUGUUCAAAAAUGAGUUUUUAGCCCAAAGAAGGUGUUAUCAAGUCACUUAGCAAUUUUUCUUGGAAUACUUUGUGUAUAGUAAUAUAAUUUAUGCUAGUAUCAUUUAACAUAACAUAUAUCUCGAUUUUUUAGGAGUUUAUGGCUAGAUCCAACAUCAUAAUCACACAAAAACACACAUAUAAGCAUUGAAAUCAUACAAGACAUACAAAACAUAUAUAGAUCUACACUUUCACUUGUAUUCCCCCCCCCCCCACAAAACUUAUAAAAUAGAAAAUAGAGGGUAUGAAGCUCACCUUGUUUGAAGGUUUUGGUUUUUGAUGAAGAUGUGAAGAGGUUUUUGGCCCUAGCAAGCUUCUUGAGGAGCUUUACAACUUAGAUGGCUCUAAGAUGUAUGAUUCACGAAAUGGAAAGGGUUAAGAGGAGAUUUUGAAGAAACCAAGAAGCUAACCCAUGGAUAUAAGUAAAAACUUACCUAGGAUGAUGAUUUUUGGUGAAGAGUCCUCCUGAAAGCACACACUAACUUGAGAUUUUUGAUGGAAGAGGGAAGAGGUUUUUAGUGUGUUUAAGAGAGUUUUUGAAAGAAAAAUGAAGGUGGUGAGAGGGUUAGCCGAGAAUAUGGAGAGAAGGGAGAGAGAGAUCAUAACCUAGUUAUUUGUGAGGUAAUAGUUAGUCUUGAAACAUGAGAUGCUACCAUAGAUAUAUGGUGGUUAAACAUGAGUUGUCACAUGCAUGUUUGGUCUUCAUUUAUCCAUUCUUUUUUUUUUUUGUAUUUAAU